AUCAAAUAUUACUAGACCAACCUGGAUAUCAAAUAUUACUAGACCCACCUGGAUAUCAAAUAUUACUAGACCCACCUGGAUAUCAAAAGAGGCCAUCACAUGGGAAUGUGUAGACUCCCCAGAACAGCAUGGACAGUAGACAGUAGACAGUAGACAGUAGAACAGCAUGGACAGUAGACAGUAGACAGUAGAACAGCAUGGACAGUUGACAGUAGACAGUAGACAGUAGAACAGCAUGGACAGUAGACAGUAGACAGUAGAACAGCAUGGACAGUUGACAGUAGACAGUAGACAGUAGAACAGCAUGGACAGUUGACAGUAGACAGCAGACAGUAGAACAGCAUGGACAGUAGUCAGUUGACACUAGACAGUAGACAGUAGAACAGCAUGGACAGUUGACAGUAGACAGUAGGCAGUAGAACAGCAUGGACAGUAGACAGUAGAACAGCAUGGACAGUAGACAGUAGAACUGCAUGGACAGUAGACAGUAGAACUGCAUGGACAGUAGACAGUAGACAGUAGACAGUAGAACAGCAUGGACAGUAGACAGUAGAACAGCAUGGACAGUAGACAGUAGAACAGCAUGGACAGUAGACAGUAGAACUGCAUGGACAGUAGACAGUAGAACUGCAUGGACAGUAGACAGUAGAACAGCAUGGACAGUAGAACCGCAUGGACAGUAGACAGUAGAACAGCAUGGACAGUAGACAGUAGAACAACAGUAGACAGUAGACAGUAGAACAGCAUGGACAGUAGACAGUAGAACAGCAUGGACAGUAGACAGUAGAACAGCAUGGACAGUAGUCAGUAGACAGUAGACAGUAGAACAGCAUGGACAGUAGACAGUAGAACAGCAUGGACAGUAGACAGUAGAACUGCAUGGACAGUAGACAGUAGAACUGCAUGGACAGUAGACAGUAGAACAGCAUGGACAGUAGAACCGCAUGGACAGUAGACAGUAGAACAGCAUGGACAGUAGACAGCAUGGACCUAGUAAGGAGCCUAUAGAUGUUCCCUAAGGAGCGAGGGUUCUGUAGAUGUUCCCUGAGGAGCGAGGGUUCUGUAGAUGUUCCCGGAGGAGCGAGGGUUCUGUAGAUGUUCCCUGAGGAGCGAGGGUUCUGUAGAUGUUCCCGGAGGAGCGAGAUGUUCUGUAGAUGUUCCCGGAGGAGCGAGGGUUCUGUAGAUGUUCCCGGAGGAGCGAGGGUUCUGUGGAUGUUCCCUAAGGAGCGAGGGUUCUAUAGAUGUUCCCUGAGGAGCGAGGGUUCUGUGGAUGUUCCCUAAGGAGCGAGGAGCCUCGCACAGCCUCUGUGUCAAUACUAUAAACCUCCUACUCUCCCCAGACAUCUGGGACCCCUAGGAGCUACGAUGAUCAGGUUGUAUACAUACUGUAGAUUAUGUAAGACAAACUCUGUUUUAUCCCAACAAUAUCAGUUGUAUCACAACCGUUGUGUCAAAUGCGCUGUACAACAUGAGUGUAUUGGGGUGCUUUUUCAAACAUCGGCACCAGCAGA
rnacentral:lncRNA from 1 species